GCCUGGGUGGCUCAGUUGGUGAAGUGUCUGUCUUUGGCUCAGGUCAUGAUCUCAUGGACAUGGGAUUGAGUCCCAUGUCAGGCU
rnacentral:tRNA from 1 species